rnacentral:rRNA from 1 species
AUUACCGCGGCUGCUGGCACGAAGUUAGCCGGGGCUUAUUCUGCGGGUACCGUCAUCAUCGUCCCCGCCAAAAGAGCUUUACAACCCGAAGGCCUUCAUCACUCACGCGGCAUGGCUGGAUCAGGGUUGCCCCCAUUGCCCAAUAUUCCCCACUGCUGCCUCCCGUAGG